rnacentral:rRNA from 1 species
UAUCACCCUGUGAACUUACCUAUAAGCACGUUGCUUCGGCGAGUGUCCCAGAGAGGGUCCGCCCUCCCCGGGACGCUACGCUCGCCGGCAGCCUACUAAACUCUGUUUCUUUGCGUUGGCAUCUCGAGUAAAUCAAACAAGUUAAAACUUUCAACAACGGAUCUCUUGGUUCUGGCAUCGAUGAAGAACGCAGCGAAAUGCGAUAAGUAAUGCGAAUUGCAGAAUUCCGUGAGUCAUCGAAUCUUUGAACGCACAUUGCGCCCGCCAGCAUUCUGGCGGGCAUGCCUGUUCGAGCGUCAUUUCAACCCUCAGGCCCUGCCUGGUGUUGGAGGACUGCGCACGCAGCCUCCCAAAGCAAGCGGCGGCGGCGCCCCGAGACCGAACGCAGUAGUUACUUCUCGUUCUGGGACUGGGUCGUUGUCCUGCCGGAAAACCCCCAUCUUUUUAAUGGUUGACCUCGAAUCA